UGCGCAGGCGGCUUAUUAAGUCAGUGGUGAAAUCUCUCGGCUCAACCGAGAAACUGCCAUUGAAACUGAUAAGCUGGAGGGUAGACGGAGAAAAUGGAAUUCCACAUGUAGCGGUGAAAUGCGUAGAUAUGUGGAGGAAUACCGGUGGCGAAGGCGAUUUUCUAGUCUACAUCUGACACUGAAGCGCGAGAGCAAGGGGAGCAAACAGGAUUAGAUACCCUGGUAGUCC
rnacentral:rRNA from 1 species